rnacentral:rRNA from 1 species
CUAAGGCGAGGCUGAAAAGCGUAGUCGAUGGGAAACGGGUUAAAAUUCCCGUACUUUUGUGUAGUGCGAUGUGGGGACGGAGAAGGUUAGGUCAGCAGACUGUUGGAAUAGUCUGUUUAAGCCGGUAGGCGUGAGGGGUAGGCAAAUCCGCCCUUCUUUAACGCCGAGACGUGAUGACGAGGGUCUACGGACCUGAAGUGACUGAUACCACGCUUCCAGGAAAAGCCACUAAGCUUCAGCUACACAAGAACCGUACCGCAAACCGACACAGGUGGGCAGGAUGAGAAUUCUAAGGCGCUUGAGAGAACUCAGGAGAAGGAACUCGGCAAAUUGAUACCGUAACUUCGGGAGAAGGUAUGCCUCUUAGAGUGUAGGACUUCGCGUUCGAAGCUUUGAGAGGUCGCAGAGAAUCGGUGGCUGCGACUGUUUAACAAAAACACAGCACUGUGCCAACACGAAAGUGGACGUAUACGGUGUGACGCCUGCCCGGU